CUUACUCACCCCCUAACGCCGAGUUCCUUUUCACUGUCUGUGGACAUUAAAAAAGCGAGCGGCGGCGGGCGCCCGGGAGAGCGAGCGGCCGGGCGGCGGGCAGGCGAGCAGCUACCGGGCAGCCGAGCGAGCAAGCAGCACCGGCGCAGCGCGGUGACCCCAGCCCCGGUGGGCGCGGAGCAGAAGCCGGCGCCGAGCCGAUCUCAGCGCCCUCGCAGUUUCUCCCGGCCCGAGCCGGCCCUGCCCGGCAGCGGCGGCGGCGGCAGCGGCGGCAGCGGCGCGUCCUCCAGCGGCGGCAGCGGCGGUCGCAGCUCCCGGACCUGCACCUGCAACAGCUGUGCUCAGCCAAGUCAGACUGCUGGGACCGGCGCCUCCUUCCCACCGCGACCUCCGUUUCCCUGACGUUCUUAGCAGCCUCCAGUCCUGGUGGUCAGCAGAGGCCUUAGCAGGACGAGGAGGAGGAGGCCUGUUGGCACCAGACCAAUGCUGCGAGGUGUGUGAGGAUUAG
rnacentral:lncRNA from 1 species